ACACGGGGGUGGCAAGCGUUGUCCGGAAUUAUUGGGCGUAAAGGGCACGUAGGCGGGAUGAUUAGUCUGAGGUGAAAGCUUGCGGCUUAACCGUAAGUCUGCCUUGGAUACUGUCAUUCUUGAGUUCGGAAGAGGGAAGUGGAAUUCCUGGUGUAGCGGUGAAAUGCGUAGAUAUCAGGAAGAACACCGGUGGCGAAGGCGGCUUCCUGGUCCGAUACUGACGCUGAUGUGCGAAAGCGUGGGGAGCAAACAGGAGUAGAAACCCUAGUAGUCC
rnacentral:rRNA from 1 species